rnacentral:rRNA from 1 species
UGGGGAAUAUUGCGCAAUGGGCGAAAGCCUGACGCAGCGACGCCUCGUGAGGGAUGAAGGUUUUCGGAUUGUAAACCUCUGUCAGAAGGGAAGAAACCGCACUGUGCUAAUCAGCAGUGCCUUGACGGUACCUUCAAAGGAAGCACCGGCUAACUCCGUGCCAGCAGCCGCGGUAAUACGGAGGGUGCAAGCGUUAAUCGGAAUUACUGGGCGUAAAGCGCACGUAGGCUGCUUUGUAAGUCAGGGGUGAAAUCCCACGGCUCAACCGUGGAACUGCCUUUGAUACUGCUUAGCUUGAAUCCGGGAGAGGGUGGCGGAAUUCCAGGUGUAGGAGUGAAAUCCGUAGAUAUCUGGAGGAACAUCAGUGGCGAAGGCGGCCACCUGGACCGGUAUUGACGCUGAGGUGCGAAAGCGUGGGGAGCAAACAGG